CACGUAGGGUGCGAGCGUUGUCCGGAAUUAUUGGGCGUAAAGAGCGUGUAGGCGGCUAGGUAGGUCCGUUGUAAAAACUCGAGGCUCAACCUCGAGACGCCGAUGGAAACCAUCUAGCUAGAGUCCGGAAGAGGAGAGUGGAAUUCCUGGUGUAGCGGUGAAAUGCGCAGAUAUCAGGAAGAACACCCGUGGCUAAGGCGGCUCUCUAGUACGGUACUGACGCUGAGACGCGAAAGCGUGGGGAGCGAACAGG
rnacentral:rRNA from 1 species